CGAAGACAAGUCGUACCUUCUGCUUUCUUUACACUGCGAACCCCGGUUUCCUCACGAGCCUACAGCGAGGCUGACCGCUUUGAAGAGGCGGGAGAGAUGGGAGAAAGUUGCCUCGAUCUCUCCGGAUAAAGUUGCCGAAGAUGAGCUAAUCCGGGAGAGAUGCGGAGUUCACCCGAGUUUCUCCUUUUGUUCAAGUUGCCCGAGCAGACAAAGAGCCGCCGGCGGCGGCAGGUCCCCGCUCCCCCACUCCACCCCCCCUCCCGGCUGGGUCCCGCCGUGCCCUCUCCCCUCAUCGCCCCAUGGCCCCCCCAACUUUCCACCUCCUCCAUCCCUCCUCGGCCCUGGCGCAAAACUUCCCUCACACUGAGCCUCCUGGAAGAAAGAAAAAAAAAAAAAAGGAAAAAAAAAUUCAAGGCUGGUUGAGGGGUGGAAAGGGAGAGCAACAUCUCUCAAAUCAUUAUUUCCGGUAGAUGCACCUCUUUGUUUGGAUUCCCCCGACUGUCAGUGAGGACAGCCUCUGGGUAUCGGUUAGUCGAAGCGCGCAGAAUGAGACGGGCAAACGCGGGCCGUAAAGGAAAACAAGUUUGGGAGAAGAAAAAGGAAAGAAAGAAAAAAAAUAAAAAAAAAAAAAGGGAGAGAAGAAAGAAAACCUCCGGAGUUGCGAAACGAACCCUUUAUACAUAGACACGGGAAGUACAUAAAUAAACAACUGGAGGGGAAUUUGGGAAGACUGUUGCAUCUCCUCCCCCCUCCCCUUCGUACAUUUGCCGAGAAAAGAGCCAAGGAGCCCCCCAAAGCCCCGCGCCGCGGCCGGCCUCUGGCAUCCCUACCUGUUGCGUAAAGCGCGAAGCAGGGGCCGACAGCAUCCGUCCCGAAGAAACCGAAGGAUAAGGACCCGCGCCCCCUCACCUGCCCCCGGACGCCCCCACGGGGAUAGGAGCAAGACUCCAGAGCAAAGCUGUUCCUGACCCUGGGCAUCCCUACACCAGCAAGACCUUGUGCCCUGUGUCAGAUCUUCUGGGAGAGCCGGACUGCAUGGACUCAGGGCUGCAGCCUUUAAGAGGAAGAAGAUGGAUGACAGACUUCUCCCUGCUACCCCACCAGAGGCCAUGCAAGUGGAAAGAACCUUCCCCUAGCCCCAGGCUGACAGAGCUAUCAGAGGGAAUCUUUGCAAAUUCAGCACAUACCAAACAAUGGGGAUUUUCCUCUGUGUGAUGAGACAUACUCCUGAUCACAGCCCUGGCAAGUCAGUUCCAUUCUGCUGCUUUCAUUCUGGCCAGCUGGUAUCAGCCUCCUGCAUCUCCAAGUCUUAUGAGUUUGACCCUUUUCCUGUGGAAAUAGGUAUGACAAAAAUACCUGUCAUUGUGAAGGACAACAGAAUAUAACUUGUUUUUGCGAGAAAUACCAGGGUCACUCUAAGCUCAGAAAUACUGUGGCAGCUCCAGUAAAACCAGCAAAGUAAAUAUAGACACAAGAUAAACUAUCUGGUCUUCCCUUUGCCUGUGACCUCUAUUACUUUCCCUGUUUCUCUGACUAUAACCUCACCAUUACAGGGAAAGUGUGGAGAAAUCACCAGAAACCCCCACCAGGGGAGAGAUAUGGAGCUUUUGGAAAGAGUCCAGAAGAAGGCCAUGAAGAUGAUCCAAGGGCUCCGGCAUGAAGAUCUAUG
ensembl:lncRNA